GAAUAUGAUUGACAGGAGUGACGUGGGGCAAUAGUCACAGUAACUUUCCAGAUUCCUGUCCUUUGCCAUCUCACCAACAACUCAUCAUAAUGCAGUGCUUCCUGCUCCUGCUACGUUCACUCCAUUUCAUCCAAUUUUUAAAACUCACAAAUCACUGGUGAAAACAAGGAAACAGAACCUUCACUCUGAUUUGGCUUUACAUAUUUACCACAUGACUUCCCUUUCAGAUCCUGCAAAGUGUGUCCUUUCAGAGUAGUGAAAGCCUACAAGUCUCCAACAAGAUUUCUACCAGUAUGGAAGCACAUUAGUCAUAUACUGCAGUAUAUGUUGUUGCUGUUCAGCAGCACUGAAAUAACACGCUAUCACCAGAACCAUAGCUAUUUUGAGUUUCAUCUUCCCAAGCUGCACUAGAAGAGACAGGAAAGUGGUUGGAAACCGAGGAUCAGAAGAACAAAGAAUAUAGCCUUGAGAAUGAGAAAAUUAACAUCAAUCUGUUGUUUGUAAUAGUCAACCAUAUGCUAUUUGGGUGACAUAAUAUAAGAAGCAGACCAAAUAUAUAUAUUAAAUAAAACAUAGCAAAUCAUCUUUUAGAUUAUUUUU
rnacentral:lncRNA from 1 species